rnacentral:rRNA from 1 species
CGCUGGCGGCACGCCUAAUACAUGCAAGUCGAACGGAGUAGCAAUACUUAGUGGCAGACGGGUGAGUAACAUGUGGGUAUCUUCCCUUUGGUGAGGAAUAACACGAGGAAACUUGUGCUAAUACCUCAUAAGUCUUUACGGAGAAAGCUUUAUGCGCCAAUGGAUGAGCCCGCACUUGAUUAGUUUGUUGGUAGGGUAAUGGCCUACCAAGACUGUGAUCAAUAGCUGAUUUGAGAGGAUGAUCAGCCACAUUGGGACUGAGACACGGCCCAAACUCCUACGGGAGGCAGCAGUAGGGAAUCUUGCACAAUGGAGGAAACUCUGAUGCAGCGAUGCCGCGUGAGUGAAGAAGGCCCUUGGGUUGUAAAGCUCUUUCGUCGGGGAAGAAAAUGACUGUACCCGAAUAAGAAGGUCCGGCUAACUUCGUGCCAGCAGCCGCGGUAAUACGAAGGGACCUAGCGUAGUUCGGAAUUACUGGGCUUAAAGAGUUCGUAGGUGGUUAAAAAAGUUGGUGGUGAAAGCCCAGAGCUUAACUCUGGAAUUGCCAUCAAAACUUUUUAGCUAGAGUUUGAUAGAGGAAAGCAGAAUUUCUAGUGUAGAGGUGAAAUUCGUAGAUAUUAGAAAGAAUACCGAUUGCGAAGGCAGCUUUCUGGAUCAUUACUGACACUGAGGAACGAAAGCAUGGGUAGCGAAGAGGAUUAGAUACCCUCGUAGUCCAUGCCGUAAACGAUGUGUGUUAGAUGUUGGAAAUUUAUUUUCAGUAUCACAGCGAAAGCAAUAAACACACCGCCUGGGGAGUACGACCG